UACGGAGGGUGCAAGCGUUAUCCGGAUUUACUGGGUUUAAAGGGUGCGUAGGUGGGUUGGGAAGUCAGUGGCGAAAUACUUUCGCUUAACGAAGGAACUGCCAUUGAUACUAUCAAUCUUGAAUGUAGUGGAGGUAGGCGGAAUGCGUCAUGUAGCGGUGAAAUGCUUAGAUAUGACGCAGAACACCAAUUGCGAAGGCAGCUUGCUACACUACUAUUGACACUGAGGCACGAAAGCGUGGGGAUCAAACAGG
rnacentral:rRNA from 1 species